GAUGAAGAACGUAGCGAAACGCGAUAGUUAAUGUGAAUUGCAGAAUUCAGUGAAUCAUCGAGUCUUUGAACGCACAUUGCGCCCCCUGGUAUUCCGGGGGGCAUGCCUGUCCGAGCGUCAUUGCUGCCCAUCAAGCGCGGCUUGUGUGUUGGGCCGCCGUCCGCCUUCCCCCCCGGGGGGAGGGGGACGGGCCCGAAAGGCAGCGGCGGCACCGCGUCCGGUCCUCGAGCGUAUGGGGCUCUGUCACCCGCUCUGGAGGCCCGGCCGGCGCCCGCCGACCCCCAACCUUCUUCUAACCAGGUUGACCUCGGAUCAGGUAGGGAUACCCGCUGAACUUAAGCAUAUCAAUAAGCGGAGGAA
rnacentral:misc_RNA from 1 species